ACUCCUACGGGAGGCAGCAGUGGGGAAUAUUGCACAAUGGGGGAAACCCUGAUGCAGCCAUGCCGCGUGUGUGAAGAAGGCCUUCGGGUUGUAAAGCACUUUCAGUAGGGAGGAAGGUAGUGUAGUUAACACCUGCAUUAUUUGACGUUACCUACAGAAGAAGCACCGGCUAACUCCGUGCCAGCAGCCGCGGUAAUACGGAGGGUGCGAGCGUUAUCCGGAUUUAUUGGGUUUAAAGGGUCCGUAGGCGGGUUAAUAAGUCAGUGGUGAAAUCCCAUCGCUUAACGAUGGAACUGCCAUUGAUACUGUUAGUCUUGAAUGAGGGUGCAGUGGUUGGAAUGUGUAGUGUAGCGGUGAAAUGCAUAGAUAUUACACAGAACACCGAUUGCGAAGGCAGAUCACUAACCCUAAAUUGACGCUGAGGGACGAAAGCGUGGGGAGCGAACAGGAUUAGAUACCCUGGUAGCGAGU
rnacentral:rRNA from 1 species